rnacentral:rRNA from 1 species
UACGGGGGGGGCAAGCGUUGUUCGGAAUUACUGGGCGUAAAGGGCUCGUAGGUGGCCAACUAAGUCAGACGUGAAAUCCCUCAGCUUAACUGGGGAACUGCGUCUGAUACUGGAUGGCUUGAGAUUGGGAGAGGGAUGCGGAAUUCCAGGUGUAGCGGUGAAAUGCGUAGAUAUCAGGAGGAACACCGGUGGCGAAGGCGGGUCUCUGGGCCGUAACUGACGCUGAGGAGCGAAAGCGUGGGGAGCGAACAGG